rnacentral:rRNA from 1 species
UCUACGGGAGGCAGCAGUGGGGAAUAUUGGACAAUGGGCGCAAGCCUGAUCCAGCCAUGCCGCGUGUGUGAAGAAGGCCUUUUGGUUGUAAAGCACUUUAAGCGAGGAGGAGGCUACUUGGAUUAAUACUCUAGGAUAGUGGACGUUACUCGCAGAAUAAGCACCGGCUAACUCUGUGCCAGCAGCCGCGGUAAU